AGGUUUUUUCAUUUCUGAGAAAUGUAAGUCUCAGCAGAGCAAAUUCAUGGAAAAAGCAAUACAUUUAAUAACACACCCUUUGAGGGCUUUUAACACUUCGUUAAAUGGAGAGCAACAAUAGUCAAGAAAAGGUGAGAUUCCAGUUAAGGAAGUCUUAAACUUGGUUCUAUUACAAAACAGCUUAAUCCUGUAUAAUAUUGGGGAGGAAAUUUUUGAAACAAAAACAGACAUGCUGAACACAAAGAAUGCCACUGUCUAUGUCCAGGUCAAUUAGGGCCUUAUAACUUUCAUGUUUUACAACAACAUGUUUAUUAUAAUAGUUUUAACAACCCGUAGUCCUUUGUUUCCAAAGAAGCAGGAUUGCAGGACACCUUUUGCAGGCCCAGCCCAGGUUUGGAACAAGGCUUCCUCUGCAAAAGCUGGAUGCUGUGAGCUCUGUCAGCUGCAAUGCUCUACCCCACACCUGCCUUGGAUUCCGGAGUACAUCCUCUAUUUGGGAGCAAUGCCUGCCUUGAACUCCAACAGUAUUUUGUCAGCAUCUUUCCCCAAAGACUAAACUCUACAGCCUAUAUCAAACAUCGGCCACUGGAGAAAGCCGAGAAAUGGAGAAAUCGAGAAACUUGGCAACACAUCCAGUAAAGAGCUGAAGCUUUUAUAACCGCACAAUACAGGAACAAAAAGCAUAGCUUUGGGGAAUGCCAGCCUUUCCGAGGUCUUCAGUCAACUGAUGAGGCCCACCCACAUUAGGGAGUAUAGUCUGCUGUACUCAGUCUACCAAUUCAGCUAUGAAGCUCCUCCAGGAACUCCUGCACAGCCACAUCCCG